GUACCGAUAGCUCAGUUGGAUAGAGCAACGGCCUUCUAAGCCGUGUGUCGGGGGUUCGAAUCCCUUUCGGUACA
rnacentral:tRNA from 3 species